CCUACGGGAGGCAGCAGUGAGGAAUAUUGGUCAAUGGACGAGAGUCUGAACCAGCCAAGUAGCGUGAAGGAUGACUGCUCUAUGGGUUGUAAACUUCUUUUAUAAAGGAAUAAAACGAGGCACGUGUGCCUUUUUGCAUGUACUUUAUGAAUAAGGAUCGGCUAACUCCGUGCCAGCAGCCGCGGUAAUACGGAGGAUCCGAGCGUUAUCCGGAUUUAUUGGGUUUAAAGGGAGCGUAGAUGGGUUGUUAAGUCAGUUGUGAAAGUUUGCGGCUCAACCGUAAAAUUGCAAUUGAUACUGGCAGUCUAGAGUACAGUUGAGGUAGGCGGAAUUCGUGGUGUAGCGGUGAAAUGCUUAGAUAUCACGAAGAACCCCGAUUGCGAAGGCAGCUUACUAAACUGUGACUGACAUUGAUGCUCGAAAGUGUGGGUAUCAAACAGGAUUAGAUACCCGUGUAGUC
rnacentral:rRNA from 1 species